rnacentral:ncRNA from 1 species
GGAAGCUGUAUGCAAGGAAACUCGCACGUACAGAUUUCAGAGAGAGGGGCGAGGCAUGAUAGCCUCCCUCGACUCUAC